ACCAUUGGAAAACACUGAGGGAGGAUGUAAAAAAAUGGCCACGGACAGAGGUUUGCAUGCUGGACAAAUGAGGCCACAGCAUUGCUCCAAGGAUCACUGCAGCCGAUCUACAGGAUCCCGAAGACCAGAAAAAGGGAUCAUGAGAUGAGAAUGAUGUUGAUGGCAGAGGACACCCAGGGUUCAGUUUGAAAAGGCCGACAGGUGCUUCAUAUUGGAGAUGCCAACAUCUGUGCUUGAUGAAAUCCACAAAGAGGUGGUGCUCCAGGAAGGAGAUAAUGUCUACCUGACAUUGGCCCUGGUGUGUACCACAUUCAGAGACAUUGUGUCCACCAAUUAUUUGAGAAGACGGGCACAUUUUCAGUGGCUUGACAGAUAUGUUGGGACAGGAAAAAGGGGAGCGCUAGAAGCAAUCUAUUCCGAAGCUGAAGAUCCGGGAUACUGCAAUCACUUCUGCAGCCAAUUGCAAUCGGUGUCCCUCUUGCCUGUCCUCCAGCCCCUGCACGUCGAGAGGAGCAGACACCCGUUUGUGCCCAGAGGACAUUACUCACAUGUUGGACUUUUGAGAAUACUUUGCAAAAUCUCAUGACACUGUUAUUGUUGUAAAUAUAUAUAUAUAGUUAUAUGUCCUUAAGAUGUUCUUGUUAAUGUUUGUGUUGUUGUUUCUGCAUACAAGGUUGACCUGUACUUAGUUUGUUUCGAUUGAAUAUGCAUGUUAAGUAUUACCUUAGUUUGUUUCACUAGUCACUUUUGUUGUACAUAGUAACUUUAAAUUGUUACCUUUUUUCCACAUUUGUAUAUAGUCACUGUUAGUACCUGGAAGCAGUAGGAGUGAGCUGCCUUUUCUUUUGACUUGUUUUCUCAUGUUUUUUCAUAGUUUAGGAUGUUAGUUUUAGUGAUGGUCUUUUUUAUUAUUUACUUUGACAUAGGGUUUAGGUAGCUUGAACUUCCCUUUAAAAUCUAGUUUGUUUUGUUUAAUUAUUUUGGCCUUGGUUCACUCCGAAGAGAAGCUUCAUUUUCAGUUUGGUGUAUUGUUUGUGUG
ensembl:lncRNA